rnacentral:rRNA from 1 species
UACAGAGGUCUCGAGCGUUGUUCGGAUUCAUUGGGCGUAAAGGGUGCGUAGGCGGCGGGGUAAGUCUUGAUGUGAAAUCCCGGGGCUCAACCCUGGAACUGCAUUGGAUACUGCCUUGCUAGAGAGCUGGAGAGGAAACUGGAAUUUACGGUGUAGCAGUGAAAUGCGUAGAGAUCGUAAGGAAGACCAGUGGCGAAGGCGAGUUUCUGGACAGCUACUGACGCUGAGGCACGGAAGGCCAGGGGAGCAAACGGG